UACGGGGGGGGCAAGCGUUGUUCGGAAUCACUGGGCGUAAAGCGCACGUAGGCGGAUUGCUAAGUCAGGGGUGAAAUCCUGGAGCUCAACUCCAGAACUGCCUUUGAUACUGGCGAUCUUGAGUCCGGGAGAGGUGAGUGGAACUGCGAGUGUAGAGGUGAAAUUCGUAGAUAUUCGCAAGAACACCAGUGGCGAAGGCGGCUCACUGGCCCGGUACUGACGCUGAGGUGCGAAAGCGUGGGGAGCAAACAGG
rnacentral:rRNA from 1 species